rnacentral:rRNA from 1 species
UACGUAGGGGGCAAGCGUUAUCCGGAUUUACUGGGUGUAAAGGGAGCGUAGACGGUGAUGCAAGUCAGAAGUGAAAGCCCGGGGCUCAACUCCGGACGUGCCUCUAAUACUGUAUGACUAGAGAAUAGAUGCGGUAGGCGGAAUGUAUGGUGUAGCGGUGAAAUGCGUAGAGAUCAUACAGAACACCGAUUGCGAAGGCAGCUUACCAAACUAUAUCUGACGUUGAGGCACGAAAGCGUGGGGAGCAAACAGG